rnacentral:rRNA from 1 species
GAUGAACGCUAGCGACAGGCUUAACACAUGCAAGUCGAGGGGCAGCGAGGGCGUAGCAAUACGCCUGUCGGCGACCGGCGCACUGGUGAGUAACACGUAUCGCGACCUGCCCCCUACAGGGGAAUAACCCGUAGAAAUGCAGCCUAAUUCCCCAUAGUCCCAAGGGCUGCAUGGCUUUUGGGGGAAAGGUUCAUUCCGGUAGAGGAUGGGGGAUGCGACUGAUUAGCUUGUUGGCGGGGUAACGGCCCACCAAGGCUACGAUCAGUAGGGGUUCUGAGAGGAAGGUCCCCCACAUUGGAACUGAGACACGGUCCAAACUCCUACGGGAGGCAGCAGUGAGGAAUAUUGGUCAAUGGGCGAGAGCCUGAACCAGCCAAGUAGCGUGCGGGACGACGGCCCUAUGGGUUGUAAACCGCUUUUGAUUGGGAACAAAGAGCGCCACGUGUGGUGCGUUGCGUGUACCUUUCGAAUAAGCAUCGGCUAAUUCCGUG